GGCUGGUCUGAAGGCAGUGAGUUAUCUCAACUGAUUGCUCAGUCAGUUACAGAUCGAAAUCCUUGUUCUACUCUUUCCCCCUUCUCACUACUGUACUUGAAUAGCCUUAU
ensembl:Y_RNA Y_RNA Y RNA